CACGUUUUUUUUAUUUUAGCCGCCACACUACCAGCGAAAAUGAGAAAAGAGGCUUCCACUUUCCAUUGUCUUCUAGAUCUGACUUCCACUUUCGAUUUCCUUCUCCUUUCUACGCCACUCACCACCCUAUCUCCUCCCCUCCAACGUCUUUCACAGAGGCUGAGCGCGCGCCGGCAUUGGAGUCGUCGACGGACUAUGUGAUGAGGAGAAAAACGGUCCAGUUAUGGGUGUCUUUUUCCUCCAACAGCCAACAACCCAACGUUAAAGGCUAAACUACUUCUGUCCUCUUCAAUACUUAUCAUAACAAAGCCUUAAUACUCAGUUCAUUGUCCUCAAAAACAGUUGGUCGGGCAAAGGAAUGUAGGCAUAGGUGUGAGAGAGAAAGGAGAAAGGAUAUGGGUGCAGAUUUAAAUUCUCAGGGGGUUCAAAAAAAAAAUAUUAUAGGGGGGUGAGUAGGAAUUUUUUUUUUUUCAGGGGGUUCAACUGAACCCCCUGGGCUCCAUGUGGGUCCGCCCCUGCCUCUUCGUCCAUCUUCGCCGCCGGCGUCUCGUCCAUCUCCGCCGCCGGCGUGGCCGAUUUCCACCGCCACUCCGUCAUCAGUUCAACGCAGAAGAGUGGAUUCGAAGCCUCAAAACGGUGCUGACUUGGAGCCAAGGGUUUACAGUGUCGAUUCAAUUUGAAAUGGCAGCGGCGUCGCAUUUGGGAAGACGAAUAGGAACAGCACUGAAGGAAAUGAUAGGAUCCAAGAAGCGAGCACCAUGGCACGAUUCUCUCAUGGCUGCAGCUUCGACCGCCAUUGUAGAAAGGAUCCCUUUAGUCGAUAUCAUUGUCCAUGUUAGAGACGCUAGGAUUCCAUCGUCCUCUGAGUGCCACUUGCUCAAAAACUGCCCUUCUUCCUCUAAGCAAAUUAUAGCGCUCAACAAAUCGGAUCUCGCUUGUUCUUCAGGUUUGCAGGCAUGGACAGAAUAUUUUGCGGAAAACAACUGCAUAUCUUGUGGAGUCAAUGCUCAUAAUAAGGAGAGCAUCAGAAAGUUUCUAACCCUUAUACAAGGCCAGGUGAGAAAGUUAGGGAGAACUGAUCAUGCUAAUUAUACUGCAACAGUAAUGUUAAUUGGGAUUCCAAAUGUUGGUAAAUCUGCACUUGUCAAUGCCUUGCAUCAAGUGGGGAGAAUUAGUGCAGCAGAAAAAGGAAAGUUGAAACAUGCAACUGUGAGUCCAGAGCCAGGGGAGACUAAAGAUAUACGAAGUUUUAAGAUUGGUAGCCAUCCCAAUAUUUAUGUGUUAGACACUCCAGCCGUCUUGUCUCCUGAGGUUCCUGAUGUUGAUGUCAUAUCUAAAUUAAUUUUAACAGGCGCAAUUGGGGAUUGUUUUGUUGGGAUAAAAGAAAUUGCUCAAUAGUUUCUAGCUAUUCACAACUCAAGUGAGCAGCAGUACAAGAAAUGGGCAAAGUUAUCUGCCAAGGAUAAUGAUGGAUUAUUCCUCAACAGCACAACAAAACGUUCGACUAGCUCAGGGUUACACAUGAAGCAGAAAAAGCAAAUCCCUACAGAUCACACACAGGAUUGCAUAGUGCAGGAUGUUCGACAAACACUUUAUGAAACAAUUUCAUCUUUUGAUGGCAAUAUAAGAUGUGAAGAUGAAAUGGCAGCAGUUAUAGCUAGGCAAUUUAGUGCCUUGCAGGAAGCAUUCCACAUUCCAACUGAGUGUGUAGAAGAUGCUCAUGUCAAAAUUGCUAGGAAGUUGCUUAAUCUUUUCCGUACGGGUCGCCUUGGACAUUAUGUUUUAGAUAAUCUUCCUAGAAAUAGUCACCGAUAAGGUUUUUCUUUUUAUGAUUUUUAAAUUCUUAUGUCAACGUAUGAAUAGCGGCAGUGCACUUUUGUUAUAGUGACAAACUUUAUCUUC